rnacentral:rRNA from 1 species
GGGGAAUUUUCCGCAAUGGGCGCAAGCCUGACGGAGCAAGACCGCGUGCGGGAGGACGGCCUUUUGGUUGUAAACCGCUUUUGUUAGGGAAGAAGUUCUGACGGUACUUGAGGAAUAAGCAUCGGCUAACUCUGUGACAGCAGCCGCGGUAAUACAGAGGAUGCAAGCGUUACCCGAAAUCAGGGGGCAUAGAGCGUAUGUAGGGUGUUUAGUGUGGCUGCUGGUAAAGACUGGGGCAUAACCGCAGU